rnacentral:rRNA from 1 species
CCGGUAAACGGCGGCCGUAACUAUAACGGUCCUAAGGUAGCGAAAUUCCUUGUCGGGUAAGUUCCGACCUGCACGAAUGGCGUAAUGAUGGCCAGGCUGUCUCCACCCGAGACUCAGUGAAAUUGAACUCGCUGUGAAGAUGCAGUGUACCCGCGGCAAGACGGAAAGACCCCGUGAACCUUUACUAUAGCUUGACACUGAACAUUGAGCCUUGAUGUGUAGGAUAGGUGGGAGGCUUUGAAGUGUGGACGCCAGUCUGCAUGGAGCCGACCUUGAAAUACCACCCUUUAAUGUUUGAUGUUCUAACGUUGACCCGUAAUCCGGGUUGCGGACAGUGUCUGGUGGGUAGUUUGACUGGGGCGGUCUCCUCCUAAAGAGUAACGGAGGAGCACGAAGGUUGGCUAAUCCUGGUCGGACAUCAGGAGGUUAGUGCAAUGGCAUAAGCCAGCUUGACUGCGAGCGUGACGGCGCGAGCAGGUGCGAAAGCAGGUCAUAGUGAUCCGGUGGUUCUGAAUGGAAGGGCCAUCGCUCAACGGAUAAAAGGUACUCCGGGGAUAACAGGCUGAUACCGCCCAAGAGUUCAUAUCGACGGCGGUGUUUGGCACCUCGAUGUCGGCUCAUCACAUCCUGGGGCUGAAGUAGGUCCCAAGGGUAUGGCUGUUCGCCAUUUAAAGUGGUACGCGAGCUGGGUUUAGAACGUCGUGAGACAGUUCGGUCCCUAUCUGCCGUGGGCGCUGGAGAACUGAGGGGGGCUGCUCCUAGUACGAGAGGACCGGAGUGGACGCAUCACUGGUGUUCGGGUUGUCAUGCCAAUGGCACUGCCCGGUAGCUAAAUGCGGAAGAGAUAAGUGCUGAAAGCAUCUAAGCACGAAACUUGCCCCGAGAUGAGUUCUCCCUGACCCUUUAAG